rnacentral:rRNA from 1 species
UGGCGGCAGCUAACACAUGCAAGUCGACGCGGAAACGACACUAACAAUCCUUCGGGUGCGUUAAUGGGCGUCGAGCGGCGGACGGGUGAGUAAUGCCUAGGAAAUUGCCUUGAUGUGGGGGAUAACCAUUGGAAACGAUGGCUAAUACCGCAUAAUGCCUACGGGCCAAAGAGGGGGACCUUCGGGCCUCUCGCGUCAAGAUAUGCCUAGGUGGGAUUAGCUAGUUGGUGAGGUAAUGGCUCACCAAGGCGACGAUCCCUAGCUGGUCUGAGAGGAUGAUCAGCCACACUUGAACUGAGACACGGUCCAGACUCCUACGGGAGGCAGCAGUGGGGAAUAUUGCACAAUGGGCGAAAGCCUGAUGCAGCCAUGCCGCGUGUAUGAAGAAGGCCUUCGGGUUGUAAAGUACUUUCAGUUGUGAGGAAGGGGGUAGUGUUAAUAGCGCUAUCUCUUGACGUUAGCAACAGAAGAAGCACCGGCUAACUCCGUGCCAGCAGCCGCGGUAAUACGGAGGGUGCGAGCGUUAAUCGGAAUUACUGGGCGUAAAGCGCAUGCAGGUGGUUCAUUAAGUCAGAUGUGAAAGCCCGGGGCUCAACCUCGGAACUGCAUUUGAAACUGGUGAACUAGAGUACUGUAGAGGGGGGUAGAAUUUCAGGUGUAGCGGUGAAAUGCGUAGAGAUCUGAAGGAAUACCAGUGGCGAAGGCGGCCCCCUGGACAGAUACUGACACUCAGAUGCGAGAGCGUGGGGAGCAAACAGGAUUAGAUACCCUGGUAGUCCACGCCGUAAACGAUGUCUACUUGGAGGUUGUGGCCUUGAGCCGUGGCUUUCGGAGCUAACGCGUUAAGUAGACCGCCUGGGGAGUACGGUCGCAAGAUUAAAACUCAAAUGAAUUGACGGGGGCCCGCACAAGCGGUGGAGCAUGUGGUUUAAU